AUAUCUCUCUGUACGGGAAGGAUGAGAAGCUUCGACUAAGGUUCGAUUCGAGCGUCAGAGAGAAAGCGUUGCCGCAGGCAACGACCCGAAGGGCGAAGCGCGCAGCGCUGAGUCAUCCUUCCCCCACCACCA
rnacentral:sRNA from 1 species